rnacentral:rRNA from 1 species
GAUGACGCUGGCGGCAGGCCUAACACAUGCAAGUCGAGCGGAUGAUUGGAGCUUGCUCCUGAUUCAGCGGCGGACGGGUGAGUAAUGCCUAGGAAUCUGCCUGGUAGUGGGGGACAACGUUUCGAAAGGAACGCUAAUACCGCAUACGUCCUACGGGAGAAAGUGGGGGAUCUUCGGACCUCACGCUAUCAGAUGAGCCUAGGUCGGAUUAGCUAGUUGGUGAGGUAAAGGCUCACCAAGGCGACGAUCCGUAACUGGUCUGAGAGGAUGAUCAGUCACACUGGAACUGAGACACGGUCCAGACUCCUACGGGAGGCAGCAGUGGGGAAUAUUGGACAAUGGGCGAAAGCCUGAUCCAGCCAUGCCGCGUGUGUGAAGAAGGUCUUCGGAUUGUAAUGCACUUUAAGUUGGGAGGAAGGGCAGUAAGUUAAUACCUUGCUGUUUUGACGUUACCGACAGAAUAAGCACCGGCUAACUUCGUGCCAGCAGCCGCGGUAAUACGAAGGGUGCAAGCGUUAAUCGGAAUUACUGGGCGUAAAGCGCGCGUAGGUGGUUCGUUAAGUUGGAUGUGAAAGCCCCGGGCUCAACCUGGGAACUGCAUCCAAAACUGGCGAGCUAGAGUAUGGCAGAGGGUGGUGGAAUUUCCUGUGUAGCGGUGAAAUGCGUAGAUAUAGGAAGGAACACCAGGGCGAAGGCGACCACCUGGGCUAAUACUGACACUGAGGUGCGAAAGCGUGGGAGCAACA